rnacentral:rRNA from 1 species
ACGGGAGGCAGCAGUGGGGAAUAUUGGACAAUGGGGGAAACCCUGAUCCAGCGACGCCGCGUGAGUGAAGAAGUAUUUCGGUAUGUAAAGCUCUAUCAGCAAGGAAGAAAAUGACGGUACUUGACUAAGAAGCUCCGGCUAAAUACGUGCCAGCAGCCGCGGUAAUACGUAUGGAGCAAGCGUUAUCCGGAUUUACUGGGUGUAAAGGGAGCGUAGACGGCUUUGCAAGUCUGAAGUGAAAGCCCGGGGCUCAACCCCGGAACUGCUUUGGAAACUGUAGAGCUAGAGUACAGGAGAGGUAAGCGGAAUUCCUAGUGUAGCGGUGAAAUGCGUAGAUAUUAGGAGGAACACCAGUGGCGAAGGCGGCUUACUGGACGGUAACUGACGUUGAGGCUCGAAAGCGUGGGGAGCAAACAGGAUUAGAUACCCUGGUA